UCGAUUGUGUUUUUUGUGAAUUGCAGAAAAAUUGGAAUCUGUUCAGUGUCAAUGUUGCAAUGGCGGGAACAGGUCUUUACCAGCUGGCUCGCAAGAUCCGGCAAGAUUAUUUUCCAGAGGUACAAGAAGCAUAAUGAUGGGCAAGAUGCAUUUAAACUUUGCCAGGAGGCAUCCUUCAGCUGGUUUUCAAACAAGGACAAAAUUUUCUGCUUCAAUUUCUGCUUGCAUGCUGGUCUCUUCAGUUUAUUGUUUCCAUUUGGCCCGUGUGUAUUUUGGCAGAAGACAUGAUUUUGGAAUAAAGAAGAGUGAAAUGCUAUUCAUAAUUUACAGGCUAUUUUGAUGUUCUUUAUUUCUCUUUCGUUUAAUGUGAUUAUUUUUCAUUGUCUCU